AUUUCCCGUCAUAGGUUCUAUGCAGGCAGAUGAGUGUCACAGCUGUAACUGAGGCACAGAGCAGUACACACAGUGGAGCCGAUUUCCGCGAUGGCGAGAGGGGGCACCGGAGGUGACAACAAUAACAAGACUGUCCUUCGGACAAGUUUUAGAUUCUCAGGAUGAUGGAGUGAGUGAUGGAAUAGGUUGCCAACUGUAGUUACUCCACUCAGCACAGAAUGGCUGCGGGGAAAUAUAAUCAGACAUGCCCAAAGAAGUCUGCUUAGGGUGAAACAAAUACCUUUGAGGUUUAAAUCAGAAAGGAAGGAGAGACUGUUUCUACAGGUGUCAUACAAAAAUCAAUACUGAGCCAAGGAUUAUUGGAUCCCAUAGAACCACGGAGACUUGGUAGUGAAAUUCUUCCAAAGCAUUCCAUCCGUGCAGGCAGAUGGUGUUCCUAGGUUUGGAAAUAUAAAUCCCAUGGGAAGUCAGCUGAAGACCAUUUUAUGCAUCACUCAUCCUGUUAGAGCCCUGUGCUGUUCUGUCUCUCUAUAAGACUGGCUGAAACCACCACGGUUGUUUACAAUUUAUGCUCUAACUUUGGAUCACCUAGUUAAUACUCUAACUCCGAUUAUUACCAAAGACAAUGUUCUAUAAAAGAUAUUGUCUAUUAGAAGGAUGCUUCUGCAUUAUUAAUAAAAUCACAGGGAAAAUGCAACAUUUUGGAUGUCACAUCUGAUAAGUUGGCAGUUAAAGAACAGAAACAGCAAUAAGACUGCGUGGCUACAUUUUCCCAGUGCCACCAACUGGGAUUUAAGCUGACUAACAUUUUGAAAGCCCAGCCCAUUUCAUUCACAGCAGGAUGGCAGUGGGUGACUGAUCGUACCCGCCAGCUGGCUAAUGUCAUAAUUAACAAAGUUGCUACUACAUCUGCAAAGUUUAAUCGAAAAAUUUGCCAGUGAUAUGAUGGCCUUGUCACAGAGAUCACAAGGGACACGGAGUUGACUUUUGCUCAAGGUGGAACGACAGAGCUGUGUAGGCAAGAUGAGAAAUUGCGAACUUGUUCGGCCAAAGAAAAAAAAGUUGAUUUAUUGAACUGACUGCAGAAAAAGAAGAAGAAGAAGAAGAUCAAUCUGACAUUGAGGCUAAUAAUGAAGGGGCCGGGAAGGAGGCCAGUGCUACCAGGGUUAUCUCACAACCUCAGAUGCUGGAUAAGUCGACGGAGGCAGAAUCGCUUUGGGAUGACAUUCAGAAAGCCUGGAGUGAUUACUUGCAAGAGAAAAGCCUACCUAUUCUUUCCAAGGU
rnacentral:lncRNA from 1 species